rnacentral:rRNA from 1 species
UACGUAGGGUGCAAGCGUUGUCCGGAAUUAUUGGGCGUAAAGAGCUCGUAGGCGGUCUGUCGCGUCUGCUGUGAAAACUCGGGGCUUAACCCCGGGCCUGCAGUGGGUACGGGCAGACUAGAGUGCGGUAGGGGAGACUGGAAUUCCUGGUGUAGCGGUGAAAUGCGCAGAUAUCAGGAGGAACACCGAUGGCGAAGGCAGGUCUCUGGGCCGAUACUGACGCUGAGGAGCGAAAGCGUGGGGAGCAAACAGG